rnacentral:rRNA from 1 species
CAGCAGCCGCGGUAAUACGAGGGGUGCAAGCGUUAUUCGGAUUGAUUGGGUGUAAAGGGUGUGCAGACGGCUUAUUAAGUCACUUGUUAAAUUCUUCGGCCUAACUGAAGGUCUGCAAGUGAUACUGAAGAGCUAGAGGGUGGAAGAGAGAAGUGGAAUUCUCGGAGUAGCGGUAAAAUGCGUAGAUCUCGAGAGGAACACCAAUGGCGAAGGCAGCUUCUUGGUCCAUUCCUGACGUUCAUACACGAAGGCGUGGGGAGCAAAUGGGAUUAGAUACCCCGGUAGUCCCUGUCUCUUAUAC